rnacentral:rRNA from 1 species
UACGGAGGGUGCAAGCGUUAUCCGGAUUCACUGGGUUUAAAGGGUGCGUAGGUGGGCAGGUAAGUCCGUGGUGAAAUCUCUGAGCUUAACUCAGAAACUGCCGUGGAUACUACCGGUCUUGAAUACCGUGGAGGUGAGCGGAAUAUGUCAUGUAGCGGUGAAAUGCUUAGAUAUGACAUAGAACACCAAUUGCGAAGGCAGCUCACUACCCGAAUAUUGACUCUGAGGCACGAAAGCGUGGGGAUCAAACAGG